AUUAUUUCUUGAGGACUUUGUGAUAAACUGUGCUAAGAAGAUCCCUCGUGGGGAAGACGUGGUUUGGCUGAGAGAAAAGGCAGCCCUUCGAAGCUUCGCUAUCAACAUUUGGAGCAGCAAGAUUUUUUCCUCCGAGCGCUUAACGUGUGACAAACCCCCAGCUGAGGCUUUUGAAUGUAGAAGUUGCUGCAAUGAGCUAUCGGCUGCGAGACUGCGAGUGCCGUGCCUGUUUGCUCUGUGCCAUGUGUACAUUCUCUGCUCAUUCUUAAGUGGACAACGUGUCCAGACCAUCUUCUGGCCCCUGGCCUGUUCUACAUCAGCAGAACCAUGGCUUCAGACUUAAUCCCUUGACCACAUUUCUUGAGCCCUACUAUUUUUUUGGCUUGUGCACCAAAGACUCGGUUUAACCUUUUGCAAUAACGAAACACUCCCUGGGAUAAUGCCUGAAGUCUCUGCCUGGUUAGCAAUUAUUUAAAUACUCUGUUAUGAAUAGGAUCAAAGCCCUCUCUUAUUGAAACACUUCAUUCCUGAUGCCAGAAGUUGUCACCGCAUGACAAAUGGGUUGCCUGUUCUCUUCUCACAAGUUUGUUCUAACCAGCCAGGGCUGGGCAGCCUGUGGGACGGGGAGUUUAAUUAAUAACAAUAUUUAAUUUUUACAAUGAAGCACUCGGAGGAGAAGGAAUAUUGCAGCAGCCACCGUGGCACAGGCGAUGCAUCCACCUCCAGCUGCAAGCCAAAAGCAGCUCGGUGAAGAAGGGCUCCAUCAGCAAAAAGCACGGCCGCGCGCACCACGUCGCGCCCAAGCACGCAUCUCCGAGAGUUGCCCGAGAUAUUUCAGUCGGGUCAAUUUUUCUCAGCUACUUAGCAGCGUUAAGUGUCAUAGUUCCUCCAGCUGAUAGUAGCCAUGGAAACCGUGACAUCACCGCCGACAUAGCGAUACAUAAAAAUUCAAAUGGCUGGGGACCGGUUGCUAGGAGAGCUCCGCUCGGGAAAGUCAUUGGGCAGGCAGCCAAGGGACUGGAGUCUGCUGAACAUGUUGUACUUCACCCUGGUAUCUGCUGACCUCCCACAUCCCUUUAGCCAUCUGAUGGGUGGAGAACCUGCACUUUUUCAGGAUGAUAGGCAGGGUGACAUGAAGCAAUCCAUCCUCGUAGGAAGGAUUCCUCUGAGCAAUUCUGGAUGUCUACUUUGGGCAGUCUGGAUGGUGCAGAGCACCAUGAUGGAAGGGAGAAGACACACAUUAAUUCGCUACAAGUAUGGGCUCGUGGGACCCAAGUGACACAGCCUUCUUUUUACCUGCCUCUUUGUCUCUCACCCUCACGAAACUGAAUAGAAGGGAAGGCAGUGAGAUUUUUGGGUCCACCCUCAGCAGCCACUUAGUCAUGGUUUCUGAGCCAAACCCGUGAGAUGUGAUCUCAGGAGGGUGUGGGGUGAGGUGAAAAGUCUGGUGAGGAGAACCCUCCUGACACCCAAGGAGCAUCUCCUUGGAGCUAUUGUAGGUAGGAAAACUCAGCAGAGCUGACUCCACUGUGUAAACAUGCUUCCUUGUGGGAUUUGCAGGGGCUCUAGACCCAAAUGACACCACCACAAGGCUAUUUCUUCUUAUAGUGUUUUGGCUUUUCCUGACUGGAAUACAUCACAGAAAAGAGGGGGAAAAAAAAAAGAAAUAAAGAAAUAAAAGAAAAAGCCA
rnacentral:lncRNA from 1 species